GUCCAAUGGAGCCGACGAAGAAGAGAACCUCUUAUCUACGAACAUCUGGUCGAAUCGUGAAUCAAUCACAACCUUUGAUUUAUGCUUGGGGACAUUCUGAAACCUUGGAUCAGAAUGAACGGAUGAGAACCGAGCAUCGGUGAUAAUUUUCUUCUUGGCUCGAUCAUGGUUGACGCCAGUUUGCUCCAAGGCUAAAGACGGAACAUUCCUCUCA
rnacentral:misc_RNA from 1 species